rnacentral:rRNA from 1 species
CAAAAACAUAGCCCUGGUGUUAUUAUACUAGGUGAUUUCUGCUCAAUGACUAAUUAAAUAGCCGCAGUACCCUGACUGUGCAAAGGUAGCAUAAUCAUUUGACUUUUAAUUAAAGUCUGGCAUGAAGGAAUAUACGCAGGGUUAGCUGUAUAAAUAAUAUUAAUAAAAAUUACUAUUUGGGUGAAAAUACCCAUAGUGACAAUAAUAGACGAGAAGACCCUAGAAAUUUCAAAAUAUAGUUUUGUUGGGGCAACAUAGUAGCAGUGUAACCUACAUAAAGGAGCUAGAAGUAUAGGCAGAUUGAUUAAAUUACUCUAGGGAUAACAGCAUUAUACAAAAGUGUUUGUGACCUCGAUGUUGGAUUAGGAAGUUGUAGCUAAGAAAGCAACCAUAACGCUCUGUUCGAGCA